GGGGAUCGAAAGACCUUAUGCUUUUGGAGCGGCCGAUGUCUGAUUAGCUAGUUGGUAAGGUAAAGGCUUACCAAGGCGACGAUCAGUAGUUGGUCUGAGAGGACGACCAGCCACACUGGGACUGAGACACGGCCCAGACUCCUACGGGAGGCAGCAGUGGGGAAUUUUGGACAAUGGGCGCAAGCCUGAUCCAGCAAUGCCGCGUGAGUGAAGAAGGCCUUCGGGUUGUAAAGCUCUUUCAGUCGAGAAGAAAAGAUUGUGACUAAUAAUCAUAGUUCAUGACGGUAUCGACAGAAGAAGCACCGGCUAACUACGUGCCAGCAGCCGCGGUAAUACGUAGGGUGCGAGCGUUAAUCGGAAUUACUGGGCGUAAAAGCGUGAGCAGGCAGCUCUGUAAGUCAGAUG
rnacentral:rRNA from 1 species